rnacentral:rRNA from 1 species
AAAGCAUCUGGUGGAUGCCUUGGUAUGCAUAAUAAAUGACAGGAACAUGGAAGUGAUGAAAUGUUAUUACCUCUGAUUGAGGACCUUGGUCGUUGAUCCAAGGUGUCAUGAACACAGGGAACUGAAACAUCUUAGUACCUGUAGGAAAAUAUAUCUAAGAUAUUCUGUUAGUAGCGGCGAGUGAAACCAGAUAUUGGCUAAUAUGUUCUGAUGUUAACAACAAUUGUUUGGAAAAACAAGCAAACAAAGGUGAAAGUCCUUAUUUUGUUGGCAUCGGAAUUAUGAGUAAAGUAGAACGAGACACAACACAUCUCGUUUGAAGAUAGGAGGACCACCUUCUAAGCCAAAACAUAUAUGCAUAACCGAUAGUGAACUAGUACCGUGAGGGAAAGGUGAAACAGAUACCCGAACAGGGUAGUGAAACAGAUCCUGAAACCGGAUGCAAACAAUCAGUCAGAGGAUUAAAAAAUCUGAUGACGUACCUUUUGUAUAAUGGGUCAACGAGUUGUUGUUGCAAGCGGAGCUUAUAAUUGAAUUUAGGCGAAGCGAAAGCGAGUCCACAAAGGGCAACGAAUAAGUUUGCAGCUUCAAACCCGAAACCGAGUGAUCUAACCAUGGACAGAUUGAAGGUUGAUGCUCAUCGACUGAAGGAUCGAACCCGUACGUGUUGCAAAACGUUGGGAUGAUCUGUGGUUAGGGGUGAAAGGCCAAUCAAACUCGGAGAUAGCUGGUUCUCUGCGAAACCUAUGUAGGUAGGUUGUUAGUCGUAUCCCAACAUGGGUAGAGCUCUGGAUGAGAGGUUAAAAUGAAUAAUUUUAAUAAAAUUCAACCAAACUUCGAAUAAUGUUGUUGGAUUUAACUGAUAAUCACACUGCGAGCGAUAACGUCCGUAGUGGAGAGGGAAACAACCCAGACCUUCGAUCGAGGUCCUUAAAUCUGAACUAAGUGAAAAAGGCAAUGGAUGUUCGAAGACGAUUAGGAUGUAGGCUUAGAAGCAGCCAUCAUCUAAGGAAAGCGUAACAGCUCACUGAUUGAUGAAUGUUCAUGCCGAAAAUGUAACGGGACUAAGUUCAGUACCGAAGUCAAGGGUAUUGCCAGUUGAGCAAUACAGUAGCAGAGCAUUCCGUAAGCCAUGGAAGGCAACCCGUGAGGGUUGUUGGAGGUAUCGGAAGCGAGAAUGUUGACAUGAGUAACGAUAAUUGAAAGUAAGAAUCUUUCACACCGAAAGACCAAGGAUUCCCAUUCCAGGUUGUUCCGAAUGGGGUUAGCCGGUACCUUAGGCCAAGCACAAGUGCAUAACCGAUGGCAAUCACGUUAAUAUUCGUGGGCCUAUCACAAGUGACUUAACUUAGACCUUGUCAAAUCUUAUUGGAUUGGUUUGGCAUACGUUUAAUUGUUAACAAGAAAAAACUUGUGGAUAUAGACCGUACCAAAAUACUGACACAGGUGGUUGGGUAGAGUAUACUAAGGUGUAUGAGAUAAUUGUGCUGAAGGAACUCGGCAAAUUGUAUGUGUAACUUCGGGAGAAACAUAACCUGACUUUGGGUAACCAAGGUUGGGUAUAAUAGAAAUGGGGGAAGCGACUGUUUAUCAAAAACACAGGACUCUGCAAAAUCGUAAGAUGAAGUAUAGAGUCUGACGCCUGCCCGGUGCUGGUAAGUGAAAUCUAAAUGUGAAUAGCGUUUUGAUGAAACUCCAGUAAACGGCGGCCGUAACUAUAACGGUCCGAAGGUAGCGAAAUUCCUUGUCGGGUAAGUUCCGACCAGCAUGAAUGGCGUAACGACUUCCCCGCUGUCUCCAGCACAAGCUCAGUGAAAUUGAAAUCCCCGUGAAGAUGCGGGGUACCUGCGGCAAGA